AAGCCAACGCCCUUCGGGGCUUCCUGGUGAUUCAUAAUAACUUUUCGAAUCGCAUGGCCUUGCGCCGGCGAUGGUUCAUUCAAAUUUCUUCCCUAUCAACUUUCGAUGCGAAGGUAUUGUCUUCGCAUGGUUGCAACGGGUAACGGAGGGUUAGGGCUCGACCCCGGAGAAGGAGCCUGAGAAACGGCUACUACAUCCAAGGAAGGCAGCAGGCGCGCAAAUUACCCAAUCCCGACACGG
rnacentral:rRNA from 1 species